CAGCCGCCGCGGUAAUACGGGGGGGGCAAGUGUUAUUCGGAAUGACUGGGCGUAAAGGGCACGUAGGCGGUGAAAAGGGUGGAAAGUGAAAGUCGCCAAAACACUGGCGGGGUGCUUUCUUGACCAUUUCACUUGAGUGAGAUAGGGGAGAGUGGAAUUUCGUGUGGAGGGAUCAAAUCCUAAGAUAUACGAAGGAACGCCAACCGCGAAGGCAGCUCUCUGGGUCCCCACUGACGCUGGGGUGCGAAAGCAUGGGGAGCAAACAGGAUCAGAUACCCCAGUAGUCCCUGUCUCUUAUACA
rnacentral:rRNA from 1 species